GACGAACGCUGGCGGCGUGCUUAACACAUGCAAGUCGAACGAUGACGACCGAGCUUGCUCGGUCUGAUUAGUGGCGAACGGGUGAGUAACACGUGAGCAACCUGCCCUUCACUCUGGGAUAACCUCGGGAAAUCGGGGCUAAUACCGGAUAUGAGCUCCUGUCGCAUGGCGGGUGUUGGAAAGUUUUUCGGUGAAGGAUGGGCUCGCGGCCUAUCAGUUUGUUGGUGAGGUAGUGGCUCACCAAGGCGAUGACGGGUAGCCGGCCUGAGAGGGCGACCGGCCACACUGCGACUGAGACACGGCCCAGACUCCUACGGGAGGCAGCAGUGGGGAAUAUUGCACAAUGGGCGAAAGCCUGAUGCAGCGACGCCGCGUGAGGGAUGACGGCCUUCGGGUUGUAAACCUCUUUCAGCAGGGAAGAAGCGAAAGUGACGGUACCUGCAGAAGAAGCGCCGGCUAACUACGUG
rnacentral:rRNA from 1 species